CUUGACAUCGCAUAUACCAGCUGAGACCGUCGUCGUCGUCGUCACCGUAUGAACAAAUCUAUGAUCAGAAAUCAGAGAUGAGAGCCCAAGACCGUCGCCCUCAGUCUCAGAAAUUUGAGCCAAAAUCUCGCGAGAUUCAAGCUGCACGCGAGCGGAUCCAAAGCCCGAACCUCCGAUCUUGCUGAAAAACCGUGAAUUUGGUCCCAAUUCGAAGGAAAUUUUAAGCCCAGAAAAGCCUUGGUUUCACAGUAAAACCCAGAAACUUGAGAAAUGCUAUUCUUGCUGAAUACCUGCCAUAUAUUACGGGAGAGGUUGGACAUAAUCAUUACUUCCUAUUACAAUUAUUAAAGUUAAUUCAAUUAACUAAAGUUGGUUUGAAUGUGAUGAUGUGAUGGCAACUACUAACAACAAAACAACAAUCUCCUUAGAUUAAGGAGAAAGAACCAAAAGGUGAGGAAGAAAAGAAAGGAAAGGAGGAAAGAGAGCUCUGCACAUGCAAAUGUCAGAGAGCUCUCGGUGUACAUGUAAAGCAAAAGUAUACAAUAAUUCCAAUAAUAUUUUUCUUCUAACA